CUCUGCUCUGCUCUGCGGCCAGCUUGGGGGCCCCCGUGGGGACCACACUCUCCUCUUGCUCCUUUGUCGCUGGGUGUUCUGAACAUCCUCACCUGGGAGAUAAGUGGGUCUGAAAAGGUCUGCUGGGGCCUGGUCCUAAAGGGGAGAGCAGAUCCGAGUUCACACAACAGCAUUUCCUGUUGGCUCAGGGGGACUUGGUUACAACACUGGGUGAUGGGGCGAAGUGUCAUGGUGAAGGGCCUUGAAGGUCAUCAGGAUGUGUCCCCUCCACCAUAUGCCCUUUUGGCACGAGGAUUGUUUUGAGCUGAAGCCAACUGAGAAUCAACAAAUGCAGAAAAACGCCUUCUUGGAGCUUCCCUUGUCAGACUAAACACAGCAACUUCUGGGAAAAGAGGCUGCUGUCAAUUCCUUCUUUAGGGCGGAUCUACUCCCAGGGGGAUACUGUGAGUGAGGCCUGUCUCAGAUUCCUCCCCCGGGAGAGUUUUAUGGCCCUGAAAGAGACGGAAGACCACUCACACCUACACAGACAAACUUAUCACAAACUUUCCUGUGUCUCAAUUGUUCUCCUGAAACUCAUUUGUUUUUCCUAAAGAAACCUAUUUGUUCUUCCUAUAAGAAGGCUUUUAUCCCCACUCCCUUUCCCCUACUAAGUUAGGUAUAUAAGCAUCUAAUUGGAACCAUUUGCUGAGUCAGCUACUUUUCUUGGUCCCCAUGUGCAUACAAAUCAACAUUUUCUUCUGUUAAUCUGUUGUUUGUCAAUUUAAUCUGCAGGCCCCAGUCACAGAAGAUAAGAGGGUAGAGGAAAGGGUUUUUCCUUCCCUACAGCCUCGUUUACCACAGAGGCUCCCUGACUUGGCUGAUGUGGGGUGCGGUGAAGGGAUGGGGCAUGGAGGUGCGGGAGGUGGGGGCUGAGCCUGAAGACCCACACCCUCCAUCUGCUGCUCCUCCCCAGCUGUGUGACAUCACACUCUCAAAACUCACCAGAAUGAGUGGAAAGAUCAAGAUUGUCAUGAUCCCCUCGGCUGACAGAGGACGGCUUUUCCUCAGCAACAAAACACUGUCAUGUCGUGAAGUGAGCGAGGAAAGAGGUCCCCAGUGGAGGCCAGCGGGGGCCGUGGAGAAGGGACGGCCCGCGCACUCCUGCGUGGCGGGCGACUCAUCCUGGUCUUGGGUGGCUACAGAUACUGGAAAAUUAAAAAAAAAUUUUAGUUUUCUCUUGCAUUUGGUUUAAAUUGGGUUCAGAACGUCCCAUGUAGGAAAUAAAAGGGGGAUUUGCUGCGAGCCACCACUGCGCCCCAAACUUGUCAUCUCCUUGAUGCUCAGAGAGAACCACGAGUCCGGCGGUGUCCUUGCCUGGGCCAGUGGGAGACCCCGGGGCUCCCGGGCUUCCGUGGACCUCUGAUGUCAGGAGGAGCCCUGCGUACAGUGGCCACUCCCACCUCCUCCUGGAGGCGACACCCCCGCCUGAUACAGAUGCUCCGGCCACGGCCCGCUGACCUGACUUUUUUAGGAACUUUGUUUUCAGGUUGCACGUGGGGCGUCGUCCCGUAUUUUCAGGCAGAUACAGAAAAGCAGAGUGUUGGAACUUUGUGUGUCUCCUUUGAAGUCAUGCUGGUUUUCCCGGGAGAGACGCUUCAGCACGUGAGCAAGUUAAAACGUAGAGUGACUUACUGCAGCUGGAAGGCGUCUCGUGCUCCCUGUGCCUCUGCUGAGGACGGCGCGGGCCCCGCUCGCGUGGAAACGAGUCUGGGCUGCCUGUGUGCCACGGGAGCGCCAAGCCGCUGGGAAGGGACCUGGUGGCCUGGCUUGGAGACGCACGAGGCAUCUUUGCAGGGGAAGAUAAAGUAUCCUGGACGGUAUGACCUGUGAGCCAAGAUCCUAACAAGGGAACCCCCAGGAGAACAUCAGAAGGCUGGCAUCACCCCUCCCACCUGUUUCCAGACACUGACCAGAGGAGCUGCCGCCUCAGCCUGCUGUCCUCCAGGGGCGGGCGGCGCGGGAGGGCCCCGCAGGCCUCAUGCCCACAGGGGACCCCACCCGGGGGCGCCCAGAGCUCCCGCGAUCAGUGCUCAGGAAAGACGAGUGGAAACAACAAAAAAAACAACCAGAGAUCUUGAACAGACACUUCCUCAAAGAAGAUACACAGAUGGCCAACCAGCACCUGACAAGAUGCUCAGCAAGAUGCGGCCAAACCAGCACGAGAGGAGCCGGGCCAAUGGCAUAGUGGUUGGGUUCGGCGGCCAGGGGUUCACAGGUUUGGAUCCUGGGUGCGGGCCUGCACACGCUCAUCAAGCCAUGCUGUGGCAGGCGUCUCACCUACAAAAUAGAGGAAGAUGGGCACGGAGGUUAGCUCAUGGGCAGUCUUCCUCAGCAAAGAAACCCAAAACCAAAACGAAAACCAACCGACCAUAAGAUACCACUUCACACCCACUGCAGUGAUCGUAAUAACACGAAAUGCAAAAUGACAGGUGUGGAGAGGAUGUGGAGAAAUUGGGCCCCUCACGCUGCUGGUGGGAAUGUGAAAGGGUGCAGCCGCUGCAGUCCGGUGGUUCUCAGAAAGUUAAACACAGAGUUACCAUGUGACCCAGCAGUUACACCCGGGAGAACUGAAAACAGACUCACGGAUACCGUACACCCGUGUUCACAGCAGUGUUAUUCACAGCGGCCAAAGGUGGAAACAACCCAAAUGUCCCUCAGCAGGUGAUGGGUACGUGAAUCUUGGUCCAUCCACACGAUGGAAUAUUACUCGGCCAUAGAAAGGAAUGAAGCACUGACAUGCUACAAUGUGGACGAACUUUAUUAAUUAACUUUAAUAACGAAACAUUUUUUUUCUUUUUUCUUUUCCUGAGGAAGACUGGCCCUGAGCUAACUUCUGUGCCCAUCUUCCUCUGCUUUAUAUGUGAGACACCUACCACAGCAUGGCUUGAUGAGCGGUGCCAUGUCCACACCUGGGAUCCAAACCGGUGAACCCGGGGCCACCAAAGCAGAACGUGCAAACUUAACCACUGCGCCAGCGGGCCAGCCCCAUGGAAACGUUAUUCUAAGUGAAAUAAUCCAGACAAAAAGGGCCACAUAUUCUUUGAGUCCAUAUAUAUGAAACGCCCAGAACAGGCAAAUCCAGAGAGAUGAAAGCAGACGAGGG
ensembl:lncRNA